rnacentral:SRP_RNA from 1 species
GCAUGCUCUUUGGAAGGAGCUGCAAGCUGGAGAAUCAAUACUUGAGAUGUGCCAAGCAUCCCAACGCCUCAGGCUGGUGACAGAGC